rnacentral:rRNA from 1 species
AACGAACGCUGGCGGCAUGCCUAACACAUGCAAGUCGAACGAUGCUUUCGGGCAUAGUGGCGCACGGGUGCGUAACGCGUGGGAAUCUGCCCUGGGGUUCGGGAUAACAGCGGGAAACUGCUGCUAAUACCGGAUGAUAUCGCGAGAUCAAAGAUUUAUCGCCCUGGGAUGAGCCCGCGUCGGAUUAGGUAGUUGGUGGGGUAAAAGCCUACCAAGCCGACGAUCCGUAGCUGGUCUGAGAGGAUGAUCAGCCACACUGGGACUGAGACACGGCCCAGACUCCUACGGGAGGCAGCAGUGGGGAAUAUUGGACGAUGGGCGCAAGCCUGAUCCAGCAAUGCCGCGUGAGUGAUGAAGGCCUUAGGGUUGUAAAGCUCUUUUACCCGGGAUGAUAAUGACAGUACCGGGAGAAUAAGCCCCGGCUAAUUCCGUG